UCCGCCAGGGUACUACAAGCGCUAGCUUAAAACCCAAAGGACUUGACGGUGUCUCAGACCCACCUAGAGGAGCCUGUUCUAGAACCGAUAAUCCCCGUUAAACCUCACCACCCCUUGUCCCUUCCGCCUAUAUACCGCCGUCGCAAGCUUACCCUGUGAAGGUUUAUCAGUAAGCAAAAUGGGAAUGUCCCAGAACGUCAGGUCGAGGUGUAGCUUACGAGGUGGGAAGAAAUGGGCUACAUUUUCUAAUAGCAGAAUAUUACGAAUGGUGUCAUGAAACCUGACACUUCAAGGUGGAUUUAGAAGUAAAAN
rnacentral:rRNA from 1 species